rnacentral:rRNA from 1 species
ACCUUGUGACGACUUCACCCCAGUCACGAACCCCGCCGUGGUAAGCGCCCUCCGUGCGGUUGGGCUACCUACUUCUGGCGGAACCCGCUCCCAUGGUGUGACGGGCGGUGUGUACAAGACCCGGGAACGUAUUCACCGCGGCAUGCUGAGCCGCGAUUACUAGCGAUUGCGACUUCAUGCAGUCGAGUUGCAGACUGCAAUCCGGACUACGACCGGUUUUGUGGGAUUGGCUCCCCCUCGCGGGUUGGCUGCCCUCUGUACCGGCCAUUGUGUGACGUGUGUAGCCCUACCCAUAAGGGCCAUGAGGACUUGUACGUCAUCCCCACC